GUCGAACGCGAAAGGGGGGCAACUCCUGAGUAGAGUGGCGCACGGGUGAGUAAUGCAUCGGAACGUGUCUAGUAGUGGGGGACAACCAGUCGAAAGAUUGGCUAAUACCGCAUACGCUGGAGACAGGAAAGCGGGGGACCUGGCAACGGGCCUUGCGCUAUUGGGGCGGCCGAUGCCCGAUUAGCUAGUUGGCGGGGUAAGAGCCCACCAAGGCUUCGAUCGGUAGCUGGUCUGAGAGGAUGAUCAGCCACACUGGGACUGAGACACGGCCCAGACUCCUACGGGAGGCAGCAGUGGGGAAUAUUGGACAAUGGGGGCAACCCUGAUCCAGCCAUGCCGCGUGAGUGAUGACGGCCUUAGGGUUGUAAAGCUCUUUUCUCCGGGACGAUAAUGACGGUACCGGAGGAAUAAGCCCCGGCUAACUUCGUGCCAGCCGCCGCCGUAACAC
rnacentral:rRNA from 1 species